rnacentral:misc_RNA from 1 species
GAUGAGAACGCAGCGAAAUGCGAUAAGUAAUGUGAAUUGCAGAAUUCAGUGAAUCAUCGAAUCUUUGAACGCACCUUGCACUCCUUGGUAUUCCGAGGAGUACGCCUGUUCGAGUGUUAUGAAGCUCUCAAAACGCAAUUGGCUUAAAACCUGAUUGUUGUUUUGGAUUUGAACUUUGCCGUGUUAUAACGGCUGGUUUUAAAAGUAUUAGCUGGUACUAGAACGAAUUGGUUCUACUCAACGUGAUAAUUAUCUGAUCGUUGAGGACAUUCCUUUCACGAGGAAUGGCCAUAGUAAAUUCAAUGGACUGCUUCUAAUCUGGCUUUAAUUCUUUAUUGGAUUAACCACUUUUCAAAUCUGACCUCGAAUCAGGUGGGACUACCCGCUGAACUUAAGCAUAUCAAUAAGCGGAGGA